UUGACAAUGCAUUUCAGAUGAAAAUUCAGCAACUUUCAUAUACAAUAAUAAUGUGUAGCACAAUCUGCCUUCCUAUUUGUUGCAGUGAUAUCCAUACAUCAGCCCAGAAGAGGACCAAGAGACAGCUACACCUCACUGAUCCAGAUGACCAGGAUUAGUGCAGGGUAGCUACGCACUUGAUAAGCACCUUCUAUUUUGCCUACGGACCUGAUGCAACUACACCAAUGCAUGCUGCUGCCUGCCAAUCUACGAUGGCCUAGCGUACCUCUACCAUAUGUAAAUUAAAUAGUACAUGCUGUCUUCGUAGCCACAACACUUUAUAUCUGUAUUAGGUAGUUUCCCCUAUGUAUUAGGUAGUGAAUUAUAGUUCCUACCAGUUCUUAGCAGUUCAGCAGUGUCCUCCCUGCCGUUGUCGAACUAGACCAUCCAAUGAAGGGAAUGGCGCCUGCACCCUUUUAGGAUACGUCUUUAACCAGGCGUUGAACAUCUAUAUUAUGCCUUCGAAACAACUCCUAUAUGUGAAUUAAUCACUACU